GCUUGCGGCCAUACAACGUUGAAAGCACGCCAUCCCGUCCGAUCUGGCAAGUUAAGCGACUCAAAACUGUAGCUACAAAAAUAAUCCAAUGAGACACGGAGACACCAGAU
rnacentral:rRNA from 1 species